rnacentral:rRNA from 1 species
UACGGAGGGUGCAAGCGUUAUCCGGAUUCACUGGGUUUAAAGGGUGCGUAGGUGGCGCUGUAAGUCGGGUGUGAAAUUUCGGAGCUUAACUCCGAAACUGCAUUCGAUACUGCGGUGCUUGAGGACUGGAGAGGAGACGUGGAAUUCAUGGUGUAGCGGUGGAAUGCGCAGAUAUCAGGAGGAACACCGGUGGCGAAGGCGGGUCUCUGGGCAGUGAACUGACGCUGAGGAGCGAAAGCGUGGGGAGCGAACAGG